rnacentral:lncRNA from 1 species
GGCAGCGCCGCCGGCUCCCGGCGCUCCCGAGGCGGCGACUCCGGGGGGGGAAGCGAGCCGCCAAAAAUGUGGUGACCCCGCGUUAGGGGCGAGGAACACACAAGGCUGGUAAAAGCUCGGAAGUCAGAGGGGCCGCCGGCAAUCAAAGUUUAAUCAACAGACACAGGCUCGUGAUGGAGGGUGAGUCACAGAGAACGUCACCAGCAAACAAACUCUAGUAACCUCCUGUGUGCUGCUUCACAGUGCAAGUGGGAACGUUUUUCCAAAGCCAGGAGAAUUUAUCCACUGAUCUCUUGUACUGGCAAGUACAGGUCUCUCCUCCUCCUCCUCAUGACAUCAGGGCUGUGCUAUGCACAAUAUGCCCCCAGGUGCACCUUGAAAGGUCACCCCAAAACAAGAACACUGAACUUGGCCAGCAUCAUCUUCCCACUCCUACAGCAGCAACUGUACGUGUUCCUUGUGGCUCCAGAGACUGCCAACUGUGUUACGCACUUGGGACCCUUCCUUCUGAAGCUGCUGAGGUGGAGAAAACAGUGUAUGCCAAUAUUUUGUAUCAAGUCCUUGUCACCCGUUUAUUUGCUACCAUACAAAUGUGAUGACUGCUGA